GUGUUGAAGACUCUCCUUCUCCCUUCCACUAACUGAGUAACGGGUAUCAGAUAGUCGGGGAACUCGACUAUAGCGUUCUCUCUUGUUUGAGGUAAAUCCGAGAGCUCAGACAUGUUCGGUGAAAACUUUGAUUUACAUUUUGACGUGUUAGGACUUAUAUCAAUCGAUUCUAUUGUUUAAAACUCAGAUGUUCUCGUUGAAUUUAAGUAUGAUUUUUGUUCAUUUGAAGUAUUCCAUGAUUUACUACAUUUCUUAUUUUGAUAGAAACAUAGUUCUUGACGAAUAUUAAUCCAUUUAUCAAAAUCACUUAUUUUGUUAUUAUUUAAAAUUGGUACAAAUUUUUCAUAAUUCAUUCCCUCAUCAUUAUAAAGUACUUUUGGUAAGGUAUUCGGGUUUAUUAAAAUAACUUUAUUUAAAUUAUGCUUAUUUUUUAUCAUUUUUUUUAUAUUUUUCCAAAAAUUCCUGAAAGCAACGAACUAAUUAGAAAUGGGUAAAUAACCACCUUUUUGAAUUAGGACUUUUCUCUUAAAGUUUAAUGUACGCUUUGGACAUGAAAUAUAUCGCAAUGCAUUCUUAUACUUUUUUAAAGCACUUAGAUGCGCUUUAUUGACUUUAUGAUUUUGUCGUAAUGUAUUUAAAACUAUUUCUUUUAUGGUUUUUACCAGCUCAUUAUCACCAUUGGUUAUAAUUGCCUUCCGUAGUUUGUUGUUGGCCCUUUUGAGAACAUACAAUAUGUGUUUGUUCGCUUUCAAGCGAUUUAGGAUCUUUUUGUAAACCAUAUUCGUCAGAAUAGCACACUGUAUAUUCCGAAUUAAAAAUGUCUGAUCUAAAUCUCAAGAGAUCGUUUAUUCCCUGGGUAAGAUCAAUAAGUAAAUACCCGUGUGGUUGUUCUGUUACUUUUUUAUAUAUUCUAAAUAACUCUGGAUAAAUUUGUCUUGCCAGUCAUUGAAGUUUGUCUCGAGGAUUUUUAAAUGCAAUUAUAUAUUUAGUGUUAAGUGAAAUAUCUUUGGUAUGCGAUGAUUUGUGAAAUAUAUUUUGAGUAACAACAAUAACAGAUAAAUUUCGGUGGUGGGAACCUUUAGUAAAGAGUUCACAUACAUUUUUAUUAAAGGCUCCCAUCAUCAAGUCGUCCAAUAUCAAGAGAAUAGGAUCAUUAGUUUCAUUUUCGAUGGUUUCAAGAACUCCUUUAAAGUAUUCAAUAUUAUUAAUAAUUCGAUCAAUUGAAACAUUAAAAAGAUCACUCUUCCGGUUUAUCAGAUUUUCUAGAAAUGUUGUUUUUCCCGAUCCUGAAGGUCCGCAAAUUAACAUUGUGUAAGGAUGUAUAAAUUGUCGAAACAUUUGUAUUGUAUAUUCACUGAUUUAUUUUAUACAAGAUAAACUAUAAAAUGUAUAUUUUGCCGUUAUUUAUUGUAUAUUUGUUAUUAAAUAUACUAUGAUUUUUUCUGAUUUUCCUGGUCGCGUUUAUAGGCACAAUUUUUCUCGAAAUGCGUAUCAGAUCCGCAGUAGUUACAAUAUAUAAGUCGAGAGUAUACUUUUUCUCGGGAUUAUUACCAAACAACUUUUUAACGGAAUCCAUAGUAAAUGAUAGUAGACGAUCUAAAUGGUUUACAAAUUAUUUUUUAUUUAACUUUAGACAUAUGUGUUUAAAUUAGUGUAUAUUUUAUAACUCGAGUUUUCUAAGAAUACAAAUAACUUAAACAAAUUAUUUAAUUAACAGCGAACUGGAUGUUUUUUCCUAUGUAUUCUACAAUUGGUAAAAAAAUUGGGUAGCUGAGUUAAACUUUUUCCAAUAUCUAUGUCAAUUAUGUUUGCUGUUAAAUACUUGCUUAAAAAGAUUUUCUUAAUUUCACCACGAACGAUAACUGUACAGUAUUUGUUUAGCGGUGAAAGUAUUUCUUCAAGACAUGUAUACGGAAUAUCUCCAGCUGAUCAGUCCAAUCCGUUUAUUUUCUAAUGAUUAAGAUGUUGUUGCUUAAAAGUUUCAUUAUCCAAUUCCUUAAUGUUAAAUGUUAAAAUGAAAGAAAUUAGGUAUGACAGUUCCGGCCAGCAUAAACUCUUUUACAAAAACUUGUUUGUUGUUUCCCAGUAAAUAUUGAAAGUCUACUAUAAUGCUUGAAUUUCGAUCUACAGUGUUCAUGAUAAUUGGUUGAGACUUUUUAAUCAACUGAGGGUGAGUUUGGAAGGGCUUCCUCCUUUAUAUACCGCCAAAAUCAGAAUAUACUUUUAGUUUAAACAAAGCACUCUAAGCUAAUGGAUACGUGCAUAAGUAAAAGAAUGAAAUCUCGAAAGACCCAGAAUCAUGAAGUCAUUUUUGGUUUCGAAUAUUAUGUUGGUCAUAGCCUAAAGUUGAAAUGUGGUCUGUCAACUUCUCGUAAUUUUUCGGCCAUGAUUUGGAUGCUGCAAAGUAAAAACAAUUACAUUGGAUUUGAUAAAGACGAAUGGAUGCAACUGCUCACAUAUAAGGAAUUUAUACAGCUGAAGCUUGACCAGUAUGACUUCCUGAUGCCAGAUACUAUUAUUGAUCAUCCUUGUAUGCCCUCAAUAAAGUGUAGUUUUAGAAUUAGGAAUUCAGAUAAGCAGUACGUUUUUGUAAUUAAUCAAUAUGGUAACAAAAUUGAGUUCGAUUGUGAGUCCUGGAGAUCUUUAUUAAGAUUGGGUAUCUUUUUUACCACAUUUUUGUGCUGGAAUUACGAUAACAAGUUAUUUAUCUUUAUCACAAACAUAUAAUUCCUAAGUGUGCAUCCUUACAAAAGUUAGAUAUUCAACUGUCUAAUUUGGAGGGUUCCUAUGAUAAAGAUGUACAAAUAGAUUUAACUCGAUUAUGUUUUAAAAUUUCUAAAAAGAUGCGCGUUGAAAUAAAACGGGAUGUACUAGUAUAUAAGCAGUCACUAUUAUCUAAUCAAGCAACGUCUUAUAAUAAAAAAUAAAUCAAACAAAUCAAAUCCCAAGCAACAAGUUGUUGAUGAAAUUCAUAAGCCUGCUCGGAAAAAUUUUAAACGCCGAAAGUUCAUUCAAAAAGGAAUAAAUGAUACAUGGCAAAUUGCUUUAGUUGAAAUGAUUCCAUUUAGUAAAGAAAAUAAGGGAUAUAAAUAUUUACCAACCGUUAUUGACACGUUUUCAAAGUAUGCGUUCGCCGAAGCGGUUAAGACAGUCUACCCUCGAUGUAGUUCAGGCAAUGGAAACUGUUUUUAGAACUAGUAAAUGUAGACCUAAGAAAAUUCAGUCAGAUCAAGGAAAAUAAUUUUUUAAUUCCGCUUUUAGGGAAAUAAUGACAAAAUUUCAUAUAAAUCAUUACCGUACUUAUACACACCUAAAGGCUUCUAUCUGUGAACGCUUCAAUCGAACUCUAAAAAAUCAUGAAUACAAUAAUUCUUAUCAUCGAACUAUUAAAAUGAAGCCUGUGGAUGAGUGUGUCAAAAAUGAAGAGUUAAUCUUAAAAUCAGUAUAUAAUAUACAAAAAAUAUUCCCAAAACAUAAAUUUUCAGUAGGGGAUUUCGUUAGAAUAAGUAAAUUCAAGGGAGUACUUAUGAAGGGUUAUGAACCUAAUUGGAAUAGAGAAGUUUUUAAAGUUUUAAAAGUUAAGUCAACAGGGCCUGUAACGUAUGAAAUAGAAGAUUAUAUGAGUAACCCUAUUCAAGGUUCGUUUUAUGAAGAGGAUCUUCAGAAAGUAAAAGUAAGAAUGCGUUUCUAAUAGAGAAAAUAUUUAAAAGAAAAAAGAACCAGGUGCUUGUAAAGUGGAUGGAUAUCUGUAAAUGAUAUGCUUAAGUAAUAAAACACAAAAAAAUAAUUUCAAAUUCAAUUUGGUUUUUGUUUAUUUACAUUUCGGUGUUGUUUUGUAAUUUACAAGGGUGUACAAUAAUAUAUUAUUAUUGAGUAUUAGUGAAGUUACUGCUAAUUAUAAUAUCUAUAUUAUAGUGACGGUGGGCUAAAGUGUAAAACUAUAUCUCUUAUCAUCCUUAUAGUUAAGACUAAUUUUAUUUACAAUUUUGGUAUAAAGAAUGUGAGACCUACUACGAAUUACUCUCUGUGAGCCAUAAAAUGUAUUUUUAUACUUAAUACAUUCAAUAUAAUCUACAUGAUUCAGCCUCUUAAUAACAGAUUUUUUUAUACUUUUAAUUUUUUUUAUGCAUUCGGGGUCGUUUCCUUCUCCAUCAACUAAACAAGAGUAUGCCCUUAAGUCCCGCAAAAGAGGUCAUAACCUUACCGGCAUGAUCAUCUUAUAUUUUUCCUGGUUCUUUUUUAUUAGCCUGUAUUAUAUUAAAUUGGUUUGCUUGCUUAUAGUUAGAAGUAUCAAAGCGUUGUGGGUUGUGUCUUAUAGUUUCAUAAAAAUCUUCUGAAGAUAGUAUAAAUGAAUCUGUAUCCAUAUAUAUUAUUUUCGAAGAUGGACUUUUAAUUAAAAGGAAGUUAUAAUAAAAUUCAUACAUUAACCAUUUUGAGAGUUCUAAAACCGUUACUCUUAUAUAUAUAAUAAUUAUAAUUUUAGAUGGUGUUGACUCAAUUGCUGCUAAGUCUGAACCAAAUAUUUCUACGCUAUGAAAAUCAUUUCUAGCUAUGCGCUGUCUAAAACCUGGAGAAGUUUGUUUCGGUUGAUAAUGUUUAACUAAAGCUACUUGACGACGCUUUGCUACAUUUUCCAUUGUUUUCCCAUAAACAGCAUUAUUCAUUAGCUUAAAAAAAAUUUUUUCAAAAUAAUUUUCAGCCAAUUUUCUCUGAUGUGUGUUUAGGGCGUAAAGGACAAAACUCGGUGUACCUUUCUUACAAUAAGACCAUGCUCUAAACAAAGUUAAAGCUGUUUUAAGUGAACUAUGUAUUCACUUUUAUUGGUUAAAUCAGCUAUAAGCUUUCUUUGCUUGCCCCCUGGUGGAAUGUUAUUUUCAGGACAGAAUGGUAAAUAAUUAUGUAAAUCAUGCUUAUCGGCCGGGUACUCUGGAUCAACUUCUAGCAUAUACCCUAUACUACCAUCACAUGCUAUAUUUUUAUAGUCGAAUGAAUUAACUUCUUCUUUAUCCAAAAACUGAAACCCUGAUAGGGGUAAGGGCUGACUCAUAGCCCACCCAUAUAAAUUAUUGGCAUUAAUAUAACUUAAAAAAUUGUUCGGUUUCUUUGGAUCGAAGUUUUUUAAGUAUUUAUUAUUUGGGGGUUGUAACCCUCCAUGGAGAAUUUUUCCACAUAAUUUUAAUUUUUAUGAACAAUAUAGCACUUUUUAUAUAAAAGUGCAAAUAACUUGACAAUUCAUACUUAAUUGUCGGAAUUUGAAAAUGAAAACCAAGAUCUUGGCGAAGCUAUUAAUUGGCUGAUGCUGCAAAGCAGGUUUUGAUAGACAGAAGAGAAAACGCUGAAGAGAACUUCAAAGAAAUCUUUAGUACUGUGAGUGAAAUUGGGAAAAAUACAAAAUAGAAUUGCGGAAGCCGAGGCUCGCGUCAAAAUAGACUCAACGUUCAAAUGUCCAAACCGAGUCAGUUGAGGAUUACUUCCGCAUUACAGUCUACAUACCAUACAUUGAUUUAUUUUUGACUCAUCUGGAAGAUCGAUCAUCGCAAGAUUCUAUCAAAUUUUGCUUGUCUCUUCCCCAACAAACUGAACAAUUUCAAUAAAGAUUCUUGCACCCAGUUGUUCCAACCAUAUUCUGCAAUUUUGCACGACAAUGAUUCCCCUGACAUUUGGAUCGACGAAGUUCGACUUUGGCGUAAAUACAUUGCCGGACACAACAUAAGAAAUUUAAUGGAAGCACUCGAUAUGUGUAACAAAGACGCGUUUCCCAAUGUCUAUCAAAUGCUUCGCAUUUUGGCAGUUUUGCCAGUAACAAAAGCUACUAAUGAACGUUCUUUUUCAACAUUACGUCGUCUCAAAACGUACCUCAGGUCGACAGUGUCUGAAGACACUGGGGUAGCCUCGCUCAACAUUCAUCGCGAUGUCAAGGUCGACACGCAAAAAGUUUUGGAAAAGUUUUUUUCUGUACCCCGCAGAGUCAACUUAUUGACAAAUUGUAACUGAAAAAAUGUACGUUACGUUAUAACACGAUUAAAAAUGUUUAUUCGAACAAAAA